rnacentral:tRNA from 1 species
GGGGCCGUGGCCUAGUCAGGAAGGGCGACGGGCUCCAGCGGUUUUUGGUAUGAUGAACAACGGGUCGACCGAACCCCUACCUGACGAGGUGGGUAAUGACGAUCCGUUGGAGCACUGACCAGUGCCUGAAGAGACCCGUAAAUCGAGGGUUCAAAUCCCUUCGGCCCCA